GGGAAAGGGGUGUGAGUGGAGAGUCGAGAGUAAAAGAAUUGGUGCAUUAAUAUAUAUGUAUAUAUAUAUAUAUAUAUAUAUAUAUAUAUAUAUAUAUAUUAAUGCACCAAUUCUUUUACUCUCGACUAUCCACUCACACCCCUUUCCCU